AUGAAGCGCAUAGCAUACUUUAUCCUCACGUUCGCUCUGGAAACUGAAAAAAUAAUCCGUGAUCAAUUCGUCUUCCCACAGCCACGUCCUAAAAUGAAAGAGGCAAACCAAGGAGCCUGCGACAGAGAGUCGCGGAGGACAGUCGUCAUGUACCCUGCGCCUGGCGCAGGCCAUUUGAUCCCCACGGUGGAGUUUGGCAGGCUGCUUGUGUCGCAUGGCCUCGCGGUCAUCGUCGUUCAGCGUGGCCUUCCGGCCGGCAACGCCACAGCUCCCGCGUCCUCCCUGUACGGCAACGGCGACGCUUCAGCCAGCCCCUUUCUCUCUUUCCACUACAUCCCGGAGCCGCCACUCCCGCACGGGGUGCCGGAGGGCGACCAUGUGGCCAAGGUUUUCGAGCUUACACGCGCUUCCAACCCUGAGCUCCGUGAUUUCCUCCGCGUCACCUCCCCGGCGGCCCUCCUCCUCGACUUCUUCUGCUACAGCGCCGCCGAUGUCGCGGCAGAGAUCGGCAUCCCGGCGUAUUUCUUCUUCCAGAGUUGCACGGCCAGCCUGGCUGUAUUGCUCCACCUGCCCGUCAUCCACGGGCAAAACGAUGUGAGCAUGCGUGACCUCGGCGGCGAGCUCGUGCACGUGCCUGGCGUCACUCCUAUACCGGCGCACGACCUCCCCGCUGCUUUCCUCGAUCGGAGCAGCCUGAGCUAUAAGCAUUUCCUCGCCUUGUCCGAACAGCUGUGCAAGUCGCACGGCGUUAUUGUGAACAGCUGCCGAUCCCUGGAGCCGCGCGCCACCGACGCCGUCGCCUCCGGCCUCUGCACGCCCCCGGGGCGCACGACACCGCCCUUAUUUUGUGUCGGCCCACUGGUACAAUCUGCGGAGGUAGCCGAGAAGCAAGGCGAAGAGUGCCUUGCGUGGCUAGACACGCAGCCGAAGGCCAGCGUGCUGUUCCUCUGCUUCGGCAGUAUGGGUCGGUUCAGCGCCGAGCAGAUCAAGGAGAUGGCGGCGGGUCUGGAGAUGAGUGGCCAACGGUUCCUCUGGGUCGUACGCAGCCCGCCGGGCGGCAACGAGCAGCCGGGCGAGCCGGAGCUGGACGUGCUGCUCCCGAAUGGCUUCCUGGACAGGACUAAGGACAGAGGGCUGGUGGUCACGUCGUGGGCGCCGCAGCGGGAAGUGCUGGCCCACGAAACAGUGGGCGGGUUCGUGACCCAUUGCGGGUGGAACUCGGUGCUGGAGGCGGUCAUGGCGGGUGUGCCGAUGCUGGGGUGGCCGCUGUACGCGGAGCAGCGGAUGAACAAGGUAUUUUUGGUGGAGGGGAUGCAGCUAGGCGUGGCGAUGGAACCAGGCCCAGAUGGCUUCGUGACGGCAAAGGAGAUCGAGGGGAAGGUCACUUGGCUGAUGAGUUCUGAUGGCGGGAGGGAGCUUCGGGAGCGUACUUUGGUGGCCAUGAGAGAGGCAAGGGAGGCCCUCAGCGCCGGUGGGGAUUCCACGGCGGCACUUCUGCAGCUCGUGCAAAGGUGA
rnacentral:rRNA from 1 species